rnacentral:rRNA from 1 species
UACGGGGGGGGGCAAGCGUUGUUCGGAAUUACUGGGCGUAAAGGGCUCGUAGGUGGCCAACUAAGUCAGACGUGAAAUCCCUCGGCUUAACCGGGGAACUGCGUCUGAUACUGGAUGGCUUGAGUGUGGGAGAGGGAUGCGGAAUUCCAGGUGUAGCGGUGAAAUGCGUAGAUAUCUGGAGGAACACCGGUGGCGAAGGCGGCAUCCUGGCCCAACAUUGACACUGAGACCCGAAAGCGUGGGGAUCAAACAGG